rnacentral:rRNA from 1 species
GAGUUUGAUCUUGGCUCAGAUUGAACGCUGGCGGCAUGCCUUACACAUGCAAGUCGAACGGCAGCAUGAUCUAGCUUGCUAGAUUGAUGGCGAGUGGCGAACGGGUGAGUAAUACAUCGGAACGUGCCCUGUAGUGGGGGAUAACUAGUCGAAAGAUUAGCUAAUACCGCAUACGACCUGAGGGUGAAAGUGGGGGACCGCAAGGCCUCAUGCUAUAGGAGCGGCCGAUGUCUGAUUAGCUAGUUGGUGGGGUAAAGGCCCACCAAGGCGACGAUCAGUAGCUGGUCUGAGAGGACGAUCAGCCACACUGGGACUGAGACACGGCCCAGACUCCUACGGGAGGCAGCAGUGGGGAAUUUUGGACAAUGGGCGAAGGCCUGAUCCAGCAAUGCCGCGUGUGUGAAGAAGGCCU